AUUGAACGCUGGCGGCAGGCCUAACACAUGCAAGUCGAACGAGUGGCGGACGGGUGAGUACUGUCUGGGAACCUGCCCGAUGGAGGGGGAUAACUACUGGAAACGGUAGCUAAUACCGCAUACCAUCGGAUGUGCCCAGAGGGGAUUAGCUAGGAGGUGGGGUAACGGCUCACCUAGGCGAAGAUGCCUAGCUGGUCUGAGAGGAUGACCAGCAACAAUGGAGCGGAGACGCGGUCCAGACUCCUACGGGAGGCAGAAGUGGAGAAUAUUGCACAAUGGGCGCAAGCCUGAUGCAGCCAUGCCGCGAGUAUGAAGAAGGCCUUCGGGUUGUAAAGUACUUUCAGCGAGGAGGCGUGACUCGCAGAAUAAGCACCGGCUAAAUCCGUGUCAGCAGCCGCGGUAAUUC
rnacentral:rRNA from 1 species